rnacentral:rRNA from 1 species
ACCAGACUCCUACGGGAGGCAGCAGUGGGGAAUAUUGGACAAUGGGGGGAACCCUGAUCCAGCGACGCCGCGUGAGUGAAGAAGUAUUUCGGUAUGUAAAGCUCUAUCAGCAGGGAAGAAAGAAAUGACGGUACCUGACUAAGAAGCCCCGGCUAACUACGUGCCAGCAGCCGCGGUAAUACGUAGGGGGCAAGCGUUAUCCGGAUUUACUGGGUGUAAAGGGAGCGUAGACGGCAGUGCAAGUCUGAAGUGAAAGGCGGGGGCCCAACCCCGGGACUGCUCUUGGAACUGCGUGGCUGGAGUGCAGGAGGGGCAGGCGGAAUUCCUGGUGUAGCGGUGAAAUGCGUAGAUAUUAGGAGGAACACCAGUGGCGAAGGCGGUCUGCUGGACAGCAACUGACGCUGAGGCGCGAAAGCGUGGGGAGCAAACAGGAUUAGAUACCCGCGUAA